GGGGCCGUAGUCCAGCCUGGUAGGAUGCCUGGCACGGCUUUUAAAAGCCGCGGGACUUGGGAUCUGGGGACAAGAACCCAGGUGGUCCCGGGUUCAAAUCCCGGCGGCCCCA
rnacentral:tRNA from 1 species